CUGCGCGGUAUGGCUUUACACAUGCAAGUCGAACGGGCUUUUUGGGGCUUGCUCCAAAGUUAGUGGCGAACGGGUGAGUUACAUAUCGGAACAUGUCCGGAAGUGGGGGAUAACGUAGCGAAAGUUACGCUAAUACCGCAUAUGCCCCGAGGGGGAAAGGGGGGGAUCGCAAGACCUCUCGCUUUCGGAGUGGCCGAUAUCGGAUUAUCUAGUACGUGAGGUAAAGGCUCACCUAGGCGACGAUCCGUAGCUGGUCUGAGAGGACGACCAUCCACACUGGAACUGAGACACGGUCCAGACUCCUACGGGAGGCAGCAGUGGGGAAUUUUGGACAAUGGGCGCAAGCCUGAUCCAGCCAUACCGCGUGAGUGAAGAAGGCCUUCGGGUUGUAAAGCUCUUUCAGCCGGAAAGAAAUUGCUUCUAUUAAUACUAGGAGUAGAUGACGGUACCGGAAGAAGAAGCACCGGCUAACUACGUGCCAGCAGCCGCGGUAAUACGUAGGGUGCGAGCGUUAAUCGGAAUUACUGGGCGUAAAGCGUGCGCAGGCGGU
rnacentral:rRNA from 1 species